CAGCCGCCGCGGGAAUACGGAGGGUGCAAGCGUUAAUCGGAAUUACUGGGCGUAAAGCGCACGCAGGCGGUCUGACAAGUCAGAUGUGAAAUCCCCGGGCUUAACCUGGGAACUGCAUUUGAAACUGUCAGGCUGGAGUCUUGUAGAGGGGGGUGGAAUUCCAGGUGUAGCGGUGAAAUGCGUAGAGAUCUGGAGGAAUACCGGUGGCGAAGGCGGCCCCCUGGACAAAGACUGACGCUCAGGUGCGAAAGCGUGGGGAGCAAACAGGAUUAGAUACCCGCGUAGUCCCUGUCUCUUAUCC
rnacentral:rRNA from 1 species